rnacentral:misc_RNA from 1 species
AAAUAAAGGGGUCACAGAGCCAGAGAGAGAGAUGAAAAGAGUAGAAUCGUUGGGUGUGAAGAAUUUUUGUUAAAGAUAAUCAAAAGAAAAGGAGGAGAAAAAUGGGGAGAGGUAGGGUUGAGCUGAAGAGGAUUGAGAACAAGAUCAACAGACAAGUCACCUUCUCAAAGCGCCGUAAUGGACUGCUCAAGAAGGCCUAUGAGCUCUCUGUCCUCUGCGACGCUGAAGUGGCUCUCAUCAUCUUCUCCAGCCGCGGCAAGCUCUACGAGUUCGGCAGCACCGGGACAAGUAAAACCCUUGAGCGAUAUCAGCAAUGCUGUUACACAUCUCAUGAUACUAAUGCCAUAAAUCAGGAAACACAGAGCUGGUAUCAGGAAACUUGUAAGUUGAAGGCAAAAGUAGAUUCCCUGCAACGUUCGCAAAGGCAUUUGCUGGGAGAGGACCUUGGACCAUUGAACAUUAAAGAACUUCAACAAUUGGAACGCCAAUUGGAAUCUGCACUAUCGCAAGCUAGACAAAGAAAGACACAGAUAAUGAUGGACCAGAUGGAAGAACUGCGUCAAAAGGAGCGCCAUCUUGGAGAAAUUAACAUGCAAUUGAAAAACAAGCUUGAAGAAGAAGGUGGCAACUUUAGAGCCUUACAGGGAAAUUGGAACUCCAAUGCUGUCCUCGAUAGAAACUCAUUUUCUCUGCACCCUAUGCAAUCGAGUGCUAUGGAAACCGAGCCCACUCUUCAAAUUGGAUACAAUCACUUUGCUCCUAAUGAAGAAGCUAUGCCAAGUAACAAUGCUGGUGUAGAGAACAAUUUCAUGCUAGGUUUGGGUUCUUUGAGUA